rnacentral:lncRNA from 1 species
GGUACGGGUCGAAACGGUUCGCGUCGAAACGGUUCACGUCGAAACGGUUCGCUUUGACCCGAACCUGCCCCGUUUCUUUAAGACACUAACCCACAUUAACCCAUUUCUUUAAUGUUGUUGACCCGCUUUGACCCGAAAAUAACAAGAUGGAAUUUCAAGUGACCCAUUGUGACCCAUUUAGGUAAAAUAUCUUACCCAAACCAACCCAUAUAAUUUUAAAAGCAACCCAAACUGACCCAUUUGGAAGGUUUUGGGUCAAGAUUGCCUCCUCUAUGUACAAUACAGCGUGGCAAUCAGUUGGGCCUUUGAUUAAUUAACAUCUCUUUUUUAAUUGUCCUCCUCCUUUCUUUAAUAUCCAGGUGGUCAAAUUAAGAUAGCUGUUCUGAUUCUUUGUUUUCUUGUUUAUAUUAAUUUCUGUUUGUUAUUGAAUGCUCAGUUGUGUGUUUCUGAUCUGGAAACACAAAUUUAGGUUACGUGUUCUCUAAUUUUUUUUUGUUUAUUAACGUGAACCAAAUGCAAUUUUUAUCUGUUUCUUUGUUUGGUUGUUUAUACGAAUUGAUGUUGAAGAUGGAACUAUUUUGUUGCAGAAAAUGUUGAUAUUUUUGUACAUAUUUCGUAGAAAUUUAUAAAUAAUCAAUGCUUUAACAAUAAUUUUUCUUUCUACUAAAAGUGUGUUUAAAACUCUGUUAUAAAACUUUUGGAUUUCCCGUCAUCAGUGUGUUAAAAUUUGUUAAUAAUCAUAACACGAGAACCAAUUGUGAUUAUAGUAGCAUCUACAUCUGUGUGUAAUUUGUUAAAUCCAUAGAUUUAAUACAACUCGUGUAACACACGGGUACUUAGACUAGUUAAUCUAAUAAGAAGAUAAAUAAGAUGUCAUGUCUUUUUUUUCUUAAAUCUGCUAGAAAAUGUCUGGACAGGUCAUUUGCUGUCACAUCACUUCUAUGAUGUAAUAUGGGUAAAACGAUAAUAAAAUUAACGCUUAAUUAAUGGAUGGUUGCUA